CUGCUCCUUCCAGUUUCCCCGAGCAGGAUUAAUGGGGAUGACAGAUAAUGUGAAUAACUUGUUUACCACGGAGAGAGACACCCGUAAAAUUAACCCUAUGUUGUGAUAACAUCAUGAGCCAAACUCACUGGGCAAGCUUGGCAGCACACGUGGUGGGAAAAGAAAAGGACCCGUAACCAGCAUUACCUUCACACUAUGAUGUUAACAAUAAUGGAAGAGAUGAAAGAAAACUGGCAGGAGCCUAUAGGUGAGCAAGGAGAGGGAAUUUGACAACAAAGCGUAAGUGAUUUGCUAACCUGUUUUCAAAUGGAUUUAAAUAAGAUGAGAUUGUGUGACUCAAAGUCUGUUAUUUUCAGCAAGCCUGAGCCACUGCAGGAUCCCCUUGCAGCGUGGUCAAACCUGACUGAGAGAAUGUGGUGGGGGGUGGGGACUGCAGAAACUAAGGGGAGAAGACCAUAGCACAGGGAUGGCACUCCUUUCCAUGUCCUUUAUCCCACAGGCUCAAUAAGCAUAGUGCCUAGGGGCUAUGAGCUUCUCAGUGGCCUAAGAAACCAUCUGAGACUUGGGUCUAUCUGAGACUGAGACUUGAGAUUAAGAAACUAUCUGAGAUGUUUCAAAAUACCUAAAGAAAAUUGCAGAUUUAAAAUUUUUAAAUGCUCAGUUAGCAUUUAGGCACACUUUCCCCCUCUUUGGUGACAUUCCUACCCCCAGCUCAGAGUUCCCCGACCUUCAGCCCAUUAUGCCCUCUUCCAAAUUACAAAGCCAACAGCAGAAGAGAGCAAGUGAGAGACAGCAGGGGCAGGGGACCUGCCUGCUCCACAAUGGGUGCCCACAUCUUGAUCUUCAUCCAAGGGGAAGAAUCAAGUCAGCUCUAGAAAGGGAAAAAAAUGAUUAAAGCCCUAACCUCAGGUUCAGAGACCUAGUUUCUGGAUCCCUUCUUUAUUCCUCCAAUUGUUCCAUGGAAUUAACACAAUGUAGUUUCAUAUCUAGGAAAGAUUAUGAAAAUGUCUGAGUUCCCUGAAAUUGGGCCAGAGGUCCCAUCCAGCCGAGACUUUCGGAGCACAAAUUUUGCUACAAUGGAAAGAACACUGGUCUGGGUGUCGGAAGACCCAAGUAUAAUCCAGGCUUUGUCAUGAUCUCAGUACAUGACCUCAGACAAGUUACAAUCUUUAUUCUUCUCUUUCCUCUUCUGUAAAAUGAAGAGAGUUGACUGAACGAGCACUGAAGUUUAUUUAAUUUCUAUGAUCACUUAAACUCUUAAGUAGCUAGACAAAUAAAGGAAGAAAGGAACCAUGUUAGACUUACUGAGACAUCUUCCUUCAUGUGCCAUAGACCAAAGAAUAUAGUAAAAAGCAUCUCUGUCCCAAAAACCAUGCUCAGUCUCCAAGCUAUGCAGCCUGUGAUUAGUAGAACCUAUUUUGCUGUAAUUGAGCAGAGUAGUUCUAGGAAAAAAUUAUACUGAAUUUCACUAAAUGCGCAUUCAUUUGGUUAACCAGACCACUAGGACUGACAUACUGUACCAAUUACAUAAUGUGAGUACCUUCAACAUCCUUCCAUUUUUGGUGAAUUGGCUCUUUAGCCAUCAGUCUAGAGCAGACUAUAAUUUACUUUCUUUGUGGUUGUGGCAAACAUGUCUAAAUUAGUUAAAUUACUUUAAUAUGUGGUUUCUUUAAGGAUCAAAAAUUCUUGACUACUCCUUCCAAGGAAACAUCAAUCCACAACAUGUGGAAUAAAUCUCCAUUUUCAUUUCUUUGUUUCAUUUUCGGUUCUUUCAAAUGACUUCAUUUUUGUUGUUGUUGCUAAAUCAACUUAAAUUUUGGAUCUGAAUAAACACUCUGAUAUUUGUGUUAAUCUUUUGACCAAAUACUUUCCUUCAUUUUGCACCCCACCACUAGGCAAUAUAAUUGUGCUCAACUACAAAUUGAUGGAUGGUGAGCUCGUCAUUCUGUCCACUGCAAGACAAAUGACUUCCUUGCCUAAAUAACCUCUCAUGGAAUAAUAUUCUGACCUCCUCUCAUUCUCUGUCCUUCUCAGAGGAGGCUAGUACAAGUCAUGCUGCUGAUCCACGUGAAUGUAAUUUGAGCAGUUUGAAAAAUAUGCAAACACAUUAUUAGCAACAUGUUUAAACAGCACCCUUCCCUUAGGUGUUCAUAAUGCUUUAAAGUUAUGCUAUAAUUACUCCUUCUAGCAUCACUCUAAAAGGUAUACAGCACAGCAAGAAUUAUAUUUGUCAAAGAACAUGAUAGUUAUGAAUAAAUGAAAAUUAUUUUCCUUGUCUCACACAUCAUUUUUAUUUAUUUAUGGGAUCUAUGUAUCCCUUAUCUCUUUCAAAAAGGAUUUGAGGCAACUUACAAGCUAAUAUGUAUAGCAUAACUCUAAUAAAAUAGGACUAAAACUAGGAUGUAGGUAGGAAAGAAAUCCCAAAACAAGACAAGAAGACUUAAAGAAAAAUGUAACGGGUUUGAUUACUCAGAAAUCUAGAAGUUCUAUGUUGCAAAGGUCAAGCAGCAGAAAAACAGAUAAGGGGCUAAUACGUAUGAUAUGAACUGUAUAAAAAUGCUUAAAAAUCAAUAAAAGACCAACCACUCAAGUGUAUAUUUUGUGCAAAGAACAUGAUGAUUAGGCCCAGAAGAAAAAAUACAAAUAAUCAAAAGUAUUAUGAAAAAAAAUUCUUAAACUCUAAUUCCUACAGAAGGAAUUAUAAAUUAAAAGAAGAUAAGUUUGCACCCAACUCAAUGACAAAAAAAACAAAAGAGUUAUAACAUACAGUAUUAUAUGGCCAUUUUGGUUGUUUUAAUUUUUACCAGUGCAACUAAUGCUGCAGUGAAUAUCCUGGUACAUACGCAUUUUAGCAAAUACACAAAUAUUUUUAUAAGAUAGGUUCCUAGAAGCAAAAGUUGAGUUAAAAUUUAUAUGCAUUUUUAAAAAUGAAAGAGUGAUGUCAGCAUCAUGGCAGAGUGAGCUUUCCUGGUAACCUCUCCCCUUCACCAUGCAACGAAAAAGACAUUCAUACUCCAACAGAGGACAUCCAAACACAACACAAAAGAUGACUGAGAGACCCACGCAGCCAUAUGAUGGAGGGCAGGGAGGCUGGAGCCCUCCUUGGAGGAGGUGGCUGGGUAAGAGAAAACUUCACUCCCUCCCCAAAAGACUUGGAUCUGGGACCAUGGGUGGCCUCCAAGAGGGAAGGAAUGAGGGAGGGAAUGUUCAUUUGUGGGAACAUCAAAGAUUCCCGAGGGUCCUCACAGCCUAGGGGAAAGCCCCUACUGAAGUGAAAGCUAAUGCAGGGGUAACCUCAUCAAGCCAACACCCCAGGAGAGCAGAUAGUGAGGGCAGAGCAAGAAAACCCCAAGAGCAUGUGGAAGAAAGUGGCCCUCCCCCUUACCCACCCAGUACCAACUCCAGUGCUUGGGAUCUCCAGCAAACACAGAGGGCUCAGAAUACAUGGCUCUUGACCCCUACCCUGUGGUGAGAGGCAUUAACUGUGAACAAAUAAUACCGCGAUGUGCAAAAACACAGCCAUGCCCUCUAGCAGUAUCAAAAAUUAUAUUAAAUCUCUAGACCAGAGAGAAAAUGACAAGUACCCAGAAAUCAAUCCUGAGGACACAGAAGUAUGUAACCUAAAUGACAGAGAAUUCAAAAAUAGCUACUAACAAAAAUUCAAUGAGUUAAAAGAGAAUGUCGAGAGGGGCUGGCCCCGUGGCCGAGUGGUUAAGUUCACGCGCUCCGCUGCAGACGGCCCAGUGUUUUGUUAGUUCAAAUCCUGGGCGCGGACAUGGCACUGCUCAUCAGACCACGCUGAGGCAGCGUCCCACAUGCCACAACUAGAAGAACCCACAACGAAGAAUACACAACUAUGUACCGGGGGACUUUGGGGAGAAAAAGGAAAAAAUAAAAUCUUUAAAAAAAAAAAAAAAAGAGAAUGUCGAGAAACAAUUCAACGAGUUCAGGAGCUACUUCACAAAAGAGAUUGAAACUAUAAAGAAGAAUCAAUCAGAAAUAUUGGAGAUGAAAGACACAAUGGAAGAGAGAAAACAAAAUAUGGAUUCCCUGAAUGCUCAAGCAGACAUUGUAGAGGAGUGAAUUAGCAUAAUCAAGGAUAGACAUGCUGAAAUGCUCCAGAUAGAGAAGGAGAGAGAACUAAGACUAAAAAGAAAUGAAGAAAGUCUCCAAGAAAUAUCUGACUCUAUUAGGAAAUGCAACAUAAGAAUUACAGGUAUUCAAGAGGAAGAAGAGAAGGAGAAUGGAGCAGAAAGCUUGUUCAAAGAAAUAAUGGAAGAGAACUUCCAAACCUAGGGAAGGAGAUGGAAAUCCAUGUGGAAAGAGGCUAUCCUAAAUAUGUCAAUGCAAAAAGAUCUACUGCAAGGCAUAUAGUAGCGAAACCAGCAAAAGUGAAUGACAAAGAAAAAAUACUAAGGACAGCACGGCAGAAGAAAAUAAUCUACCAAGGAACCCCUAUCAGGCUUUCAGUGAACUUCUCUGCAGAAACCUUACAGGCUAGGAGAGACUGGACAUAUUCAAAUCUUUGAAGGACAAAAACUUUCAGCCAAGAAUACUCUAUCUAGUGAAAAUAUCCUUCAGAUAUGAUGGAGAAAUAAAAACUUUCCCAGAUAAAACAAAAGCUAAGGGAGUUUGUAGCCACAAGAGCCCUUCUACAAGAAAUCCUCAAGAAGGCCCUCAUACCUGAAAAAAAAAAAAAGAAGAAAGGGGUUACAAAGCAUGGAGUAAGGAGAUAAAUAUGUAGACAAAAUCAGAAAAUUGUAGCUGUAUAUCAGAACAGGAUAGCAAAUACUCAAGAAUAGCAUUAAAGAUAAAGGGAAGAAAAACACCAAAAACAAAGAUAAUCUUGUCAUUUUAAUCACAAACUCACAACACAAGAUAGAAUAAGAUGUGAGAAAAACAACUCAGGUGGGGAAGAGGAAAGGGACUGAAUAGGUUUAGUCUAAGGAAAUAAGAGGCCAUCAGAAAAUGGACUAUCUUAUCUACGAGAUUUUGAAUACAAACCUCGUAGUAACCACUAAACAAAAAAGCCGAACAGAGACACAAAUAAUAAAAAAGGAGAAAACAAAGAAACACAACAUUAAAAACUACAUAACUCAAUUUGUAGACCAAAAGACAGGGCGAGAAACAAAGGAAAUGGAGGAGAAUCGGAAAACAAGUGAUAAAAUAGCAGCAUUAAACCCUCAUAUAUCAAUAAUCACCCUAAUGUAAAUGGAUUGAAUUCUCCAAUAAAAAGACACAGAGUGGUGAGAUGCAUUAAAGAACAAGACCCAACAAUACGCUGCCUCCAGGAAACACAUCUCAGAUCCAAUGACAAACAGGCUUAAAAUGAAGGAAUGGAAGAUGAUACUCCAAGCUAAUGGCAAACAAAAGAAAGCAGGUGUUGCAGUACUUAUAUCAGACAAAGUAGACUUCAAGAUAAGACAAGUCAAGGAGACAAAGAGGGGCAGUAUAUAAAGAUCAAAAGGACACUCCACCAAGAAGACAUAACACUUAUAAAUAUCUAUGCACCCAACACAGGAGCACCAAAGUACAUAAAGCAACUAUUAACAAACCUAAAAGAAGAUAUUUUUAAUAACACAAUAAUAGUAGGGGACCUCAACACUCCAGUCACAUCAAUGGAUAGAUCAUCCAGAAGAAAAUCAACAAGGAAACAGUGGAAUUAAGUGAAAAGCUAGACCAGUUGGACUUAAUAAACAUAUAUAGAACACUCCAUCCAAAAACAAAAGAAUACACAUUCUUCUCAAGUGUGCACAGAACAUUCUUAAGGAUAGACCAUAUGUUGGGAAACAAUGCAAGCCUCAAUAAAUUUAAGAACGUUGCAAUAAUAACAAGUAUCUUUUCCGAUCACAAUGCUAUGAAGCUAGAAAUUAAUUACAAGAAAAAAGCAGAGAAAGGGACAAAGAUGUGGAAACUCAACAACAUGCUAGUGAACAAACAAUGGAUCGUUGAAGAAAUUAAAGGGAGAAAUCAGAAAAAUAUCUGGAGAUACAAGAAUAUGAAAACAUACCUUACCAACUCAUAUGGGAUGCAGCAAAAGCCAUAUGAAUAGGGAAAUUCAUUGCAAUACAGGCUCACCUUAACAAACAAGAAAAAUCCCAAAUAAGCAAUCUCAAACUACACCUAAUUGAAUUAUGAAAAGAAGAAUAAACAAAGCCCAAAGUCCACAGAAG
rnacentral:lncRNA from 1 species